UGUGGUUAUUAUAGAAGAGAGGAUACACCUGUUCCCAUUCCGAACACAGAAGUUAAGCUCUCUAUCGCUGAGAGUACUUGGGGCGAAGGCCCCUGGGAGAGUAGGACGUAGCCACGU
rnacentral:rRNA from 1 species